UACACGACCGUACCGCAAACCGACACUGGUGCGCGAGAUGAGUAUUCUAAGGCGCUUGAGAGAACUCAGGAGAAGGAACUCGGCAAAUUGACACCGUAACUUCGGAAGAAGGUGUGCCUUUAGUAGGUGAAGUCCCUCGCGGAUGGAGCCCAAUGAGGUUGCAAAAAAUCGGUGGCUGCGACUGUUUAUUAAAAACACAGCACUCUGCAAACACGAAAGUGGACGUAUAGGGUGUGACGCCCCCCGGUGCUGGAAGAUUAAAUGAUGGGGUGCAAGCUCUUGAUUGAAGUCCCAGUAAACGGCGGCCGUAACUAUAACGGUCCUAAGGUAGCGAAAUUCCUUGUCGGGUAAGUUCCGACCUGCACGAAUGGCGUAACGAUGGCCACACUGUCUCCUCCUGAGACUCAGCGAAGUUGAAAUGUUUGUGAUGAUGCAAUCUCCCCGCGGAAAGACGGAAAGACCCCAUGAACCUUUACUGUAGCUUUGUAUUGGACUUUGAACAGAUCUGUGUAGGAUAGGUGGGAGGCUUUGAAGCAGGGUCGCUAGAUCUUGUGGAGCCAACGUUGAAAUACCACCCUGGUGUGUUUGAGGUUCUAACCUAGGCCCGUAAUCCGGGUUGGGGACAGUGCAUGGUAGGCAGUUUGACUGGGGCGGUCUCCUCCCAAAGUGUAACGGAGGAGUUCGAAGGUACGCUAGUUACGGUCGGACAUCGUGACGAUAGUGCAAUGGCAUAAGCGUGCUUAACUGCGAGACUGACAAGUCGAGCAGAUGCGAAAGCAGGACAUAGUGAUCCGGUGGUUCUGUAUGGAAGGGCCAUCGCUCAACGGAUAAAAGGUACUCUGGGGAUAACAGGCUGAUACCGCCCAAGAGUUCAUAUCGACGGCGGUGUUUGGCACCUCGAUGUCGGCUCAUCUCAUCCUGGGGCUGUAGCCGGUCCCAAGGGUAUGGCUGUUCGCCAUUUAAAGAGGUACGUGAGCUGGGUUUAAAACGUCGUGAGACAGUUUGGUCCCUAUCUUCCGUGGGCGCUGCAGAUUUGAGGAAGCCUGCUCCUAGUACGAGAGGACCGGAGUGGACGCACCUCUGGUGUAUCGGUUGUCACGCCAGUGGCAUUGCCGAGUAGCUAUGUGCGGAAGAGAUAACCGCUGAAAGCAUCUAAGCGGGAAACUCGUUUCAAGAUGAGAUCUGCCGGGGCCUUGAGCCCCCUGAAGAGUCGUUCAAGACCAGGACGUUGAUAGGUCGGGUGUGGAAGCGCAGUAAUGCGUUAAGCUAACCGAUACUAAUUGCUCGUGCGGCUUGAUCAU
rnacentral:rRNA from 1 species